GACGAACGCUGGCGGCGUGCCUAAUACAUGCAAGUCGAACGAGUGGCGGACGGGUGAGUAAUGUCUGGGAAACUGCCCGAUGGAGGGCGAUAACUACUGGAAACGGUAGCUAAUACCUCAUACCAUCGGAUGUGUCCAGAUGGGAUUAGCUAGUAGGUGGGGUAACGGCGCACCUAGGCGACGAUCCCUAGCUGGUCUGAGAGGAUGACCAGCCACACUGGAACGGAGACACGGUCCAGACUCCGACGGGAGGCAGCAGUGGGGAAUAGUGCACAAGGGGCGGAAGCCUGAUGCAGCCAUGCCGCGUGUAUGAAGAAUGCCUUCGGGUUGUAAAGUACUUUCAGCGAGGAGGCGUUACUCGCAGAAGAAGCACCGGCUAACUCCGUGCCAGCAGCCGCGGUAAUAC
rnacentral:rRNA from 1 species